rnacentral:piRNA from 1 species
UGAUGAAAAGUUUCGGAUUCUUGAUAACAGC